rnacentral:rRNA from 1 species
ACGCUCGACACCUACGGGAGGUAGCAGUGGGGGAUAUUGCACAAUGGAGGAAACUCUGAUGCAGCGACGCCGCGUGAGGGAAGAAGGUUUUCGGAUUGUAAACCUCUGUCUUCGGUGACGAAAAUGACGGUAGCCGAGGAGGAAGCCACGGCUAACUACGUGCCAGCAGCCGCGGUAAUCUGAGCGGGCUGGCAAGGC